AUUGAACGCUGGCGGCAUGCUUUACACAUGCAAGUCGAACGGUAACAGGCCUUCGGGUGCUGACGAGUGGCGGACGGGUGCGUAAUGCUACCGCACGUAUCCCGUGGUGGGGGAUAACGCAGCGAAAGCUGUACUCAUACCGCAUGCGAUCUGAGGUUGUAAGCGGGGGACCGAGAUGCAAUGUUUCGCCUUGCGCCUUUGGUGCGGCCGAUGUCGGAUUAGCUAGUUGGUGGGGUAAAGGCCUACCAAGGCGACGAUACGUAGCUGAUCUGAGAGGACGACCGGCCACACUGGGACUGAGACACGGUCCAGACUCCUACGGGAGGCAGCAGUGGGGAAUCUUGGGCAAUGGGCGCAAGCCUGAUCCAGCAAUGCCGCGUGAGGGAAGAAGGCCUUCGGGUUGUAAACCGCUUUUGGCAGGAACGAAACGGUGUCCGCUAAUACCGGGCGGUAAUGACGGUACCUGAAGAAUAAGCACCGGCUAACUACGUG
rnacentral:rRNA from 1 species